GAUGAACGCUGGCGGCGUGCUUAACACAUGCAAGUCGAACGAAGCACUCUAUUUGAUUUUCUUCGGAAAUGAAGAUUUUGUGACUGAGUGGCGGCCGGGUGAGUAACGCGUGGGUAACCUGCCUCAUACAGGGGGAUAACAGUUGGAAACGACUGCUAAUACCGCAUAAGCGCACGGUAUCGCAUGGUACAGUGUGAAAACCUCCGGUGGUAUGAGAUGGACCCGCGUCUGAUUAGCUAGUUGGUGGGGCAACGGCCUACCAAGGCGACGAUCAGUAGCCGACCUGAGAGGGCGACCGGCCACAUUGGGACUGAGACACGGCCCAAACUCCUACGGGAGGCAGCAGUGGGGAAUAUUGCACAAUGGGGGAAACCCUGAUGCAGCGACGCCGCGUGAACGAAGAAGUAUUUCGGUAUGUAAAGUUCUAUCAGCAGGGAAGAUAAUGACGGUACCUGACUAAGAAGCACCGGCUAAAUACGUGCCAGCAGCCGCGGAA
rnacentral:rRNA from 1 species